AGGAGAUUAGCUCAGUUGGUUCAGAGCAUCCCUUAAAGGGAGGGCGACUGGUUCGAGUCCAGUAUCUCCCACCC
rnacentral:tRNA from 1 species